CCUACGGGAGGCAGCAGUGGGGAAUCUUGCGCAAUGGGCGAAAGCCUGACGCAGCCAUGCCGCGUGAAUGAUGAAGGUCUUAGGAUUGUAAAAUUCUUUCACCGGGGACGAUAAUGACGGUACCCGGAGAAGAAGCCCCGGCUAACUUCGUGCCAGCAGCCGCGGUAAUACGAAGGGGGCUAGCGUUGCUCGGAAUUACUGGGCGUAAAGGGAGCGUAGGCGGAUAGUUUAGUCAGAGGUGAAAGCCCAGGGCUCAACCUUGGAAUUGCCUUUGAUACUGGCUAUCUUGAGUACGGAAGAGGUAUGUGGAACUCCGAGUGUAGAGGUGAAAUUCGUAGAUAUUCGGAAGAACACCAGUGGCGAAGGCGACAUACUGGUCCGUUACUGACGCUGAGGCUCGAAAGCGUGGGGAGCAAACAGGAUUAGAUACCCUGGUAGUCCACGCUGUAAACGAUGAGUGCUAGUUGUCGGCAUGCAUGCAUGUCGGUGACGCAGCUACGACAUAAGUACACUCCGCCGUCGGGGAGGUACGGUCGCGAAGAAGUUAAAACGUUAAAAGGUAAAGUUAGUUACGGUCGUUGAGACGUUGCCGACGGACGACGACGAGGGAGGAGG
rnacentral:rRNA from 1 species